rnacentral:lncRNA from 1 species
AUGAUAAAUGGAAUCAAUAAGCAAUAUGCAAUGGAAAAGAAAAUGAAGAGCGAGACAAAUCUCAAUUCUCUGAAUGCCUUCAGUCACGACCCAUUUCCGUCCUCACUGUCCAGAAGUACCAUUAACAUUCAAGUCACUUCUUGCGAUGGUGAACCGCAUGCUGCCAAGACAUUUUUCACAAUGACUCCUCAAGAAAUCGCUCAAUGGAUUGAUCGAAGAAGUCCGCCUAUUUUUUCCUCUCGCAUUUCUAGUUUUUAAUUGCUUAUACUGGACAUUUGUUUGGAUGUAAAUUCAGAUCAAUAAAAGCAACACCACACCAAAGUCAUUUCCAUAUUAUUAACCCUCCUUCUUACGUCUGAUGAAUGUCAAAGUAACUAAGAGUCCAUGCCAAAUGAGUUUAUCAUCUUCUAGAGAGAGACAGGAGGACCAUUCCCUUGAUUCCUGGAUUUAUCUUCAGUCCUGAAAUGAUGUUAAUUGGCGUGUUUUCUAUCACACCCUGAAAAUCUGUCAAAUUGUUUUAUGUGAACUCUAAUUUCCUGAAAUAAAUUGCGACUACAAACGUUAACAUGAGCUCUUUCAAACGGCUUUGUAUACGUAUAGCUUGUAAGCUUGAGAAAAAGUUGCAAUAUCAAAAUCCUUUUACUCAUUAGAGUAGUCCGCAAGAAAGUCAAUGACUGCUUGCAAGCUAAAAUUAUGUAUCAGAAACGUGCAAUGAGUAGUUUGUAUUAUUGUUUGUUCCAUGAAUGAAUAUUAUUUUCAAAUUUUGUAUUUUCAUCUAUCUGAUAAUUGAUAUGACACAGUAGCAAACUUUGAGAUCCAUUUUUCAAGAGGUGUUUUGCAAAACUAACUGUGGGGGGUAGGGAGAAGGAUAUUCGAUUAUUACUUAUUAAGUAUGCAAUACAAUGGGAUGUGCAGCAUUAAUGAGCAGGGGUGUCCUUUCAGUUGUUUUGUAAGCUGUGGUGGAGGAUCCAAUAAUAAGAGUUGCAAGUAACAAUUGGAGGACCUUGAUGACUAUCAAGGGUUUGUAGAGCCAUGGUUCGAAUGCAUUAUGUUCCCAUGUACCUAAAUACAUUUUGUAGGCCAUGAACCUUAAGGACAAUUGAAUGUAGGAAACAAGGUGGAAAGAGAAAUUUAAGGAGGAAAAACUGUUUUUGAUUUGAACUUUCAUGGAGCAUCCUGCCAGGACGCCCAGACAUUGUGAUGGAAAAAUUAAGAAGGUAAGUAUAUGUAUCCAAAGAAAAAUGGUAAGAUAUGAGGAUGUUGUGUUGAUAGAACAAAAUUUUUCUCCAUCUAGAGCCAUUAUAUGGAUUGCAUUUUGCAAAAAGGGACCACUAGCAUUGCAAUGUUGCUAAGAUUGUGCAACUUCUUUUGUCUUGGAGGAAAUACCCGAUUAUCCAUUAAUAGUUUCCAUUUUACUCGCUAAAAACUGAAAUUUAAG